AUAUCUAUGACCUUUAUGAGUUGAUGAAGAAGAUGAAGAUCCUUCAGAAUGUUCAGAGAGAAGAACCAUUAUGAGUUAUGGUUUGAGGACCCUUCAGGCUUCCACAAUUUUGUGUAAUUAUUUUUUGUUUCUCCUUAUAUGUGGGUGUCUCCCAAUAAGCUCUGAGAGUAAUUAUUGUGUUCCCAAGCUUUUGGAUCCCAGGAUUUCCUUACUUGUGCCUCAAUCUCAAGAUCCCAUACAUAGUGUCUCUACAGUCUACAUAAAAUCAAAUUUAUUAAUACCUUAUGCCAUCAAACAGUUUAACUCUAAAAUAACAGCUUAUAGUCUUCAAAAUAUAAACUGAAGUGUUUAAUAAACCAGACAGAUACACCUUGAACUUUUCUGUGUGAAUAAAUAUGCUUCUGAAACAACCAACACAUAAGGCUAAGUGAGUUAAUAUGCUUAUAUUAAUACCUUAUGCAACUGAAGUCUCAUCAAACAAUUUAAACCUAAACAAUAAAACCUUACAUCCUUAUAAUAAUAAUAAUAAUAAUAAUAAUAAUAAUAAUAAUAAUAAUAAUAAUAAUAAUAAAUAAAUAAAUAAAUAAAUAAAUAAAUAAAUAACUGAAGUGUAUAAAACCAAAAAGAAUAAGUUUAUUGACAUGAUUGUUUAAAGAUCCCCAAAUUAACAAGAAAAAGCUUCUCAAUCUCAGGAUCCCAUGCAUAAUGUCUCUACAGAAAAUCCAAAUUAUUACUUUAUUUUCUACAAAAUAAAACUUUUAAGUGUUUGAAUAACAAAACAUAUGCACUGGCCUCCAAACUUUUUAUCUGAAUUUAAUAUGCUUUGAAAAUAAGAAACAAAUAGAAAGAACCAACAUAUGUGCAGCUAUGUAUUGAUAUAGAAUUGCCAUAACAUUAAGAUGAGAAUUGUUUAAAGUUUGGUUACUCAGUUAAUUAACACCAUCAACUAAAAGACAAACGCAAGAAAAAGUCCCUGGAAUUAACAAGAACAUCUUUUGAAAUGUGAAUUUUUCUAUCAUUAAAUCUAGUAUAGAAUAUUGAUGGGUUGCUCCACAUGAUAAGUUUUUGAAAGUCACAAGUCCCACCAUCUCUAAGCUUUUAAUUACAAGGUCUAUACUAGAUGAAACUUUAAAGAUAAAUUAACAUCAUACACAAGAAUAUAUACAUCAUCAUCAAUUUUGAGUUGCAUCUUUUUUAUUUUCAAAAGCCAUGUGAAAGCUUUGCUUUGUGCUGCCCCUGGAACAAAAGUUUAAGUCAACCAAACCCUACUUGUACUUACAACAUCUGAAAAUAGCCAAAAGUAAAAGCAUCUGAAAGCUGAAAACACCCCUGUUUCAUAUAACACAACUAAAGUACAACUAUUACAAUCGCGUAUUAAAGUUUAUUCAUUGUGUUUGUGAGUUGGAAUAUAAGGAAUUAAGAAGUCAAGGAUAAACUCUGUACUAUCCGUACUGAAAUAAUCGAAAUUUCAAUCCCUAAUUAAUGUAAAAAAAAAAUAAUUAUGAUGUGAUUUUUGAUUAAUCAGAUAUAAUUGUCUAACAACAUGUGAAACUAACUUGAAAGAAUGUUCAUUCACAGUUACCUGCAUACAGAGCUACAGCGACACCUGAAGCAGAGAGAAUGCGGACGAUCCAACAGCGACGCCGUCGAAAAUGACAUCGAGUGAAAAAUCCAGAGCGAACGGCGCGAAGUCGGCCGGUAUAAGGCGAGUCAACGAGGAAAGAAAAGGAGCCGGCGAGAGAGGUGAGACACAGAGACGUUGGAUUUUUC
rnacentral:lncRNA from 1 species